CAUCUCGGAGCACAAGUUCUGGGGUUGAUAAAAGGGCCUUCGCUCGAAGAGGGGUUCGCGCCUGAUUAGCUAGUUGGUGAGGUAAUGGCUCACCAAGGCUUCGAUCAGUAGCCGUCCUGAGAGGGAGCACGGCCACACUGGAACUGAGACACGGUCCAGACUCCUACGGGAGGCAGCAGUGGGGAAUUUUUGGCAAUGGGCGAAAGCCUGACCAAGCAACGCCGCGUGGGUGAUGAAGUAUCUUGGUACGUAAAACCCUUUU
rnacentral:rRNA from 1 species